rnacentral:rRNA from 1 species
GAUGAACGCUGGCGGCGUGCCUAAUACAUGCAAGUCGAGCGAACAGACGAGGAGCUUGCUCCUCUGACGUUAGCGGCGGACGGGUGAGUAACACGUGGAUAACCUACCUAUAAGUCUGGGAUAACUUCGGGAAACCGGAGCUAAUACCGGAUAAUAUAUUGAACCGCAUGGUUCAAUAGUGAAAGACGGUUUUGCUGUCACUUAUAGAUGGAUCCGCGCCGCAUUAGCUAGUUGGUAAGGUAACGGCUUACCAAGGCAACGAUGCGUAGCCGACCUGAGAGGCUGAUCGGCCACACUGGAACUGAGACACGGUCCAGACUCCUACGGGAGGCAGCAGUAGGGAAUCUUCCGCAAUGGGCGAAAGCUUGACGGAGCAACGCCGCGUGAGUGAUGAAGGUCUUCGGAUCGUAAAACUCUGUUAUUAGGGAAGAACAAAUGUGUAAGUAACUAUGCACGUCUUGACGGUACCUAAUCAGAAAGCCACGGCUAACUACGUG